rnacentral:lncRNA from 1 species
UUUAAUAUAGUCAAUGUUAAGGUAAGGAGAAUUAUAGAUCUGAUUUGUAUAUAUUGUUGGUUGGUAAUGUGUACCCCUAUGCAUGAUAAGCGUAGGAUAGAGUAUAAUUGGCAUGUCAAUAGGUUAUAAUGCACGCUGUACGAGAUUGAUAUGAGACAAGAUGAUGGGUCCUGUAUAUUUCUUAUUCGCUGAAUAUACAAAAGUCUUGCAUUUGUUGUGAACUAUCGUGUUACAUUACAGUGUUUUUUGGCAUGUUAGCGGGGGAAAAUGUUAGCCUACGGGUUAGGCACUUAGUGCCAAGGCGUGUUAUUGGUUGGAUUGGCUCGUAUGAGUGUUUGGCGUGUUUCCAGAUGGUUAACUGUGUACUCAUAUCCAUAUAUUGUUCAUUGACAACAUUCUAG